CUCUGUGACUCCUACGGGAGGCAUCAGUGGGGAAUAUUGCACAAUGGGGGAAACCCUGAUGCAGCCAUGCCGCGUGUGUGAAGAAGGCCUUCGGGUUGUAAAGCACUUUCAGUAGGGAGGAAGGUAGUGUAGUUAACACCUGCAUUAUUUGACGUUACCUACAGAAGAAGCACCGGCUAACUCCGUGCCAGCAGCCGCGGUAAUACGGAGGGUGCGAGCGUUAAUCGGAAUUACUGGGCGUAAAGCGCAUGCAGGCGGCCUGUUAAGUCAGAUGUGAAAGCCCGGGGCUUAACCUCGGAAUUGCAUUUGAAACUGGCAGGCUAGAGUCUUGUAGAGGGGGUAGAAUUUCAGGUGUAGCGGUGAAAUGCGUAGAGAUCUGAAGGAAUACCAGUGGCGAAGGCGGCCCCCUGGACAAAGACUGACGCUCAGAUGCGAAAGCGUGGGGAGCAAACAGGAUUAGAUACCCUGGUAG
rnacentral:rRNA from 1 species